GCGUUGUCCGGAUUAUUGGGCGUAAAGCGCGCGCAGGCGGAUUGGUCAGUCUGUCUUAAAAGUUCGGGGCUUAACCCCGUGAUGGGAUGGAAACUGCCAAUCUAGAGUAUCGGAGAGGAAAGUGGAAUUCCUAGUGUAGCGGUGAAAUGCGUAGAUAUUAGGAAGAACACCAGUGGCGAAGGCGACUUUCUGGACGAAAACUGACGCUGAGGCGCGAAAGCCAGGGGAGCGAACGGGAUUAGAUACCCCGGUAGUCCUGGCCGUAAACGAUGGGUACUAGGUGUAGGAGGUAUCGACCCCUUCUGUGCCGGAGUUAACGCAAUAAGUACCCCGCCUGGGGAGUACGACCGCAAGGUUGAAACUCAAAGGAAUUGACGGGGGCCCGCACAAGCGGUGGAGUAUGUGGUUUAAUUCGACGCAACGCGAAGAACCUUACCAGGUCUUGACAUUGAUGGACAGAACUAGAGAUAGUUCCUCUUCUUCGGAAGCCAAAAAACAGGUGGUGCACGGUUGUCGUCAGCUCGUGUCGUG
rnacentral:rRNA from 1 species